rnacentral:rRNA from 1 species
UACGGAGGGUGCGAGCGUUGUCCGGAAUCAUUGGGCGUAAAGGGCGCGUAGGUGGCCCGGUCAGUUCGUGGUGAAAGCGCGGGGCUCAACCCUGCGUCGGCCAUGAAUACUGCCGCGGCUGGAGCACUGUAGAGGCAGGCGGAAUUCCGGGUGUAGCGGUGGAAUGCGUAGAGAUCCGGAGGACCCCAGAGGCGAAGGCGGCGCUCUGGCUCGCGAACUGCGCUCAGACA